rnacentral:rRNA from 1 species
GUGGGGAAUCUUAGACAAUGGGGGAAACCCUGAUCUAGCCAUGCCGCGUGAGCGAUGAAGGCCUUAGGGUUGUAAAGCUCUUUCAGCUGGGAAGAUAAUGACUGUACCAGCAGAAGAAGCCCCGACUAACUCCGUGCCAGCAGCCGCGGUAAUACGGAGGGGGCUAGCGUUGUUCGGAAUUACUGGGCGUAAAGCGCACGUAGGCGGACCGGAAAGUCAGAGGUGAAAUCCCAGGGCUCAACCUUGGAACUGCCUUUGAAACUCCUGUUCUUGAGUUCGAGAGAGGUGAGUGGAAUUCCGAGUGUAGAGGUGAAAUUCGUAGAUAUUCGGAGGAACACCAGUGGCGAAGGCGGCUCACUGGCUCGAUACUGACGCUGAGGUGCGAAAGCGUGGGGAGCAAACAGGAUUAGAAACCCUUGUAGUCC